UGCAGGUGGGAGAUGAGGGGUUAACGGAAAACCUCGAAAAAAGAGUGUUUUCCAGUAAUCAAGCAGAACAACGUGGAGCCGGUGCUAACGGGUCUAGACGUGGACGGAUGGCGACACGGUCGACCCCUGGCGCUCCGACACUUGUCGAGCGACAUGAUGGCCUGCAGGUCCUUUUGUUUGGCAGCCAUCAGCUCCAACGGAGAGGCCAGGCUGUGGAGGUCAAAGGUCAAUGGGACCUUUAAAAACAAAAAAGGACCUUGUUUUCUAAAUGACCGCAAUUAAAUACCCCCUGCCUUUAAAUGUCCUGCUCCUGGUGACCUGAUGGAAAUGUGGUCUGGACUGUGAGACCAGGAAAAGGUGCCGACAAGCUUGCCCGCAUCUGUUUGUGCCUGAAGGAAAUCCCAGAGAGGCUGAAGCAGCAGGGGCAGAACCCAGAUGUAUCCAUGGUGGAGCCUAAAAACCAAAGUCGGAGUGUCUGCUGAGAGGCAAGAUGGAAAUCAGCCAAUAGGAGCAGAAAGGAAAUGCAACAUG